UACGUAAGGACCGAGCGUUGUCCGGAAUCAUUGGGCGUAAAGGGUACGUAGGCGGUUAGAAAAGUUAGCAGUGAAAGGCUAUAGCUCAACUAUAGUAAGCUUGUAAAACUGUUUAACUUGAGAUAUGGAAGGGAAAGUGGAAUUCCUAGUGUAGCGGUUAAAUGCGCAGAUAUUAGGAGGAAUACCAGUGGCGAAGGCGACUUUCUGGCAAUCAUCAGACGCUGAGGUACGAAAGCGUGGGUAGCAAACAGG
rnacentral:rRNA from 1 species